rnacentral:rRNA from 1 species
ACCAAGGCGACGAUCAGUAGGGGUUCUGAGAGGAAGGUCCCCCACCAUUGGAACUGAGACACGGUCCAAACUCCUACGGGAGGCAGCAGUGAGGAAUAUUGGUCAAUGGGCGAGAGCCUGAACCAGCCAAGUAGCGUGCAGGACGACGGCCCUAUGGGUUGUAAACUGCUUUUAUGUGGGGAUAAAGUGCGUGACGUGUCAUGCAUUGCAGGUACCACAUGAAUAAGGACCGGCUAAUUCCGUGCCAGCAGCCGCGGUAAU